AAGUCGUAACAAGGUUUCCGUAGGUGAACCUGCGGAAGGAUCAUUAACGAGUUUUGACAUGGGUUGUAGCUGGCCUCACGAGGCAUGUGCACGCCCUGCUCAUCCACUCUACACCUGUGCACUUACUGUAGGUUUGGCGUGGGCUUUCGGGGCCUUCACGGGCUUUGAGAGCAUUCUGCCUGCCUAUGUAUCACUAUAAACACUAUGAAGUAACAGAAUGUAAUUGCGUCUAACGCAUCUUAAUACAACUUUCAGCAACGGAUCUCUUGGCUCUC
rnacentral:misc_RNA from 1 species